rnacentral:rRNA from 1 species
UCCGUAGGGGAACCUGCGGAGGGAUCAUUACACAAAUAUGAAGGCGGGCUGGAAUCUCUCGGGGUUACAGCCUUGCUGAAUUAUUCACCCUUGUCUUUUGCGUACUUCUUGUUUCCUUGGUGGGUUCGCCCACCACUAGGACAAACAUAAACCUUUUGUAAUUGCAAUCAGCGUCAGUAACAAAUUAAUAAUUACAACUUUCAACAACGGAUCUCUUGGUUCUGGCAUCGAUGAAGAACGCAGCGAAAUGCGAUAAGUAGUGUGAAUUGCAGAAUUCAGUGAAUCAUCGAAUCUUUGAACGCACAUUGCGCCCUUUGGUAUUCCAAAGGGCAUGCCUGUUCGAGCGUCAUUUGUACCCUCAAGCUUUGCUUGGUGUUGGGCGUCUUGUCUCUAGCUUUGCUGGAGACUCGCCUUAAAGUAAUUGGCAGCCGGCCUACUGGUUUCGGAGCGCAGCACAAGUCGCACUCUCUAUCAGCAAAGGUCUAGCAUCCAUUAAGCCUUUUUUCAACUUUUGACCUCGGAUCAGGUAGGGAUACCCGCUGAACUUAUGCAUAUCAAUAAGCCGGAGGAA